UACAUACUGUUGUAUUUGUUACUCAAUUAUUUAAGAAUUUUGCUUAUUGCUAGGGCACU
rnacentral:misc_RNA from 1 species